GCCCCGCUCCGGGCGCUGAGGGCGGCCCCGGGCCCGGCCCGGCCGGAGGCGGCGGCGGCGCCGCCAUGAUCUCCGCGACUUCCGGCGCGCGGCGGAAGUGACGCCGGCGGGAGGCGCCGCGCAGGAGCGGAAGCGGCCGUCCAAGAUGGCGCCCACCAUCCAGACGCAGGCGCAGCGCGAUGAGCCGGGCCACCGGCCGAGCUCGCACCGGACCCUCCCCGAGAGGUCCGGGGUCGUUUGCCGGGUCAAGUUCUGCAACAGCCUCCCCGACAUCCCCUUCGACCCCAAGUUCAUCACCUACCCCUUCGACCAGAGCAGGUCCGGCAGCGCGGGGUCGGGGGGCCCUGGGGGCGGUC